AAGAGAGCGCGGAUCUCCUCGGCCGUGGUCGGGCGCGGCAGGUUCCCCACGAAGAUCUUCACCAUGUCGGCUCGCUGCCCCUCCGCUCCCUGCUGCUUUACGCCGAGAAUGUUUGGACCGUCGUCGUCGUCGUCGCCUUCUUCUUCUGCGUCGGAGAAGUUGAAGAAGGUGGUGGAGGAGGUGGAGGAGUAAUUAACAAGGGAGCGUGAAACCAAAUCUGCUACAGCCACAUCAAGUACGAGCUCAACGUAUGGGUUGCAUCCUUCAAGACAAAAGCAGUACCAUCGUGGGCACCUCUGCAAGACAAAGUCCCUCUAGUUGAUAGAGUGGCCAUGCUGUUACCAUUUCUUGCGGAGAAGUCGUUACCAUUCAGCUUGGCACCUGAACUGAUCAACUUAUCAAGGAAUUUUGCAGGUGAUCCCAAGCUGCUCAACCAACUAUCUAUGGGUAGGAAUACAGCGUCAUGCAAGAUGCUGCUUGGUUUGGCAAAAACCUUUCAAGAUGAACUUGUCCAAGAUCUUCUAAGCAACAUGUUUUCCAUGAACAUUGAUGAAGCCACCAGACAAUAACAAAAAAAUCUUGCCCGUCUCGGUAAGCUACUAUUCCCCAUCAUUGAAUAAGGUGCUUAUCAAUCAUUUUGCCUCGCUCAGUUUGAUUGUGGUGAAUAGUUUGAUUAUGGUGAGACUCUCCAAACAGAGAUUGCUGCAACGACACAACAUUCCAUGGACAAAUGUGAUACCUAUCUUGAUGGAUUCAUGUAAUGUCAUGAGAGGUUUGAAGAGUGGAUUGGAGACAAGGAUAAGGAUGCUUCUCAUGCUUCUCAUCUCCAUGAUAUAGAUGGCAAUAUUUGCCACCACGUACACAAUGCAUGUAAGCGAUUCUCAAAAGCAUUUGAACAUCAUUUUGUGUCUCGUUCAGGAACAGCUUCCUCCCUACAGCCAUUUGGCUAUUAAACACUACAAUCUCAAAUAAGCUCUGAACUACAUAGACUGUUAUUGCUAUUAUAUUGUUUACCAUGUUCGAUGCUUACAUAUUCUGUUGUGCUGCUGCAAGUAAGAAUUUCAUUGUUCUAUCUGCGACAUAUAAUAAAACACUCUUGUCUUGA